GUUUUUGGCCUUUUCCCUUCUUUCUGCCACUGUGUCUGUCUCUAUUCAACUUUCUCUCUUUUCUCCUCCGUAUUUCUCUCACAUUCAUCUGUCUUCAUCUUUUUUUUUAUGUCACUCCUCCUGCUUCUCUCUCCCUUUCUCUCCUCUGUCUUUGUCUUACUGUUUCUCGUCCUUGAUCCUCUUUUUAAUUCCUUUUUGUUUCCUUCUCUCUCUCUCUCUCUCUCUCUCUCUCUCUAUUAGAACAUCGAGAUGGACAAACAGGACUAAAACUUUCACCUAGCUAGCUUUUACAUUAGAAGUUCACAGGAAAGAGACAGGAGGAGAGAAUGACGCAGGACACGUUUCUGUGAUGGGCGCGAGGCUAAAGGCUAAGCAAACCUACAUCAAUAACACGCUGCAUAAACACAACCAUAAUGACACACACAGGAGGAGCUGGACAUGAGAUAAGAUACGGUCAAUCAAUCACACACACACACACACACACACACACACACAUACCACUCUACCAUUCUUUACUGAAUUCAGACGAAUUACUGAACACUAAAUGAAUGUUAAUUAACAUGGUCUUUUAUAUCCUUGUCUGAACAUAUUUCCUUUCAUAUACAGUGUGUGUGUGUGUGUGUGUGUGUGUGUGUGUGUGUGUGUGUGUAUGCAAACCCCUGCAGGCUUCAGUGUUGUUCAGUCCCUCCAGCAUCGUCAGUAUGUUCACCAACAAGCCAAGACCUGUUACUUCAGAAAUCCUGGAAACCUUCUGAACUUCUGCGUUUUUUUUUUUUUUUCCAUUUUCACUCGAAGAUGCCGACUGAUACAGUAUCUGCUCUCGGUGUACAGUCCCAGCCGAGGGAAUGUAAAUUUUAAGACGAAUCGACCCGGGCAGCUUGAUGUGAAUAAUGUCACUAAAGAAAGGUUGGCUUACUAAUCAAUGAGUUCCUUCUUCUAAUGCAGCAAGAUGUUUAAACUCCUUCGGGAAAUUUCUAUUGUCAGGCUGAUAAAGGCUGGAUUAAGAGAGCCUGAAUGCGAGGUUCUUCUCUUUGAAAGACUGGAUAAUGGCAAUCAAUCUUGUGAUCACAUCUUGACAAGGCAGUUUUCCUUCCUCAAUAAGAGAGCGUUUUAUUGGAUCGAUAGUGCAGCAGGGCUUGAAUCACGGCUCGUGCUGGUGCUGUGCUCAGGACUUUAAUUGCUUUUAACUGAAGUGCCAUCAUUUAUCCAAUCAGAGAACCUCUUUUCUUUCUUUUUUUUUUUUUUUAGUUUCAUAUGUGUAUUUUAUGAGCAAGCCAGAUUCAUCUGAACUUCCUAUGCGUAUAAUGUUAAUGGAAAGUUUCUGCCAUCUUCUAACUUGGCAAAUGUAAAAUCCUGAUAUGAAAGGGAUCUCUGGUUAUUACAUCAGAGUGCAGAUGCCUAGAUAGAGCACCUGAUUGGGGAUGGACUGGAUAAGAAACACCCAUAUCUGAGGUUUAAAGCAAAAUUGGCUGGUUUGGAGAUGAGCUAAGGUUUCUUAAUGAUGAAGAAUACCACAUUGUUGUUGAAUUCUGGAUCUCUGAUUGGUCAGAAGGUGUUGAUUAAUUUUCUAUAACAGCAGCCCUGACAGUAGUGCAGGUUUAUAUUAAUGCGCUCGUUCUGAGACCUUAUCGUUUCUAUAGCAACAGCUCGUUCACGAGGCCGAGCCUCUACGAAUAAUAACGGGAUUUAAAAAUGUGUGUAAUUGUUGUUGAGGUUUUCUGUAAGGAGAUGUUUAUUUAACAUUUAUGGAAGGAGUCUCCAGUGUCAGAGAUAAAGCUGUAAUUUUAAGUUUUCUGACAUCUUCAGGACAGAAGAGAGAGAAAAAAGAGAGGCUGGUGAAGGAACGACUGUUUAUAGCUGCUAUAACGUAAGCGAGAACAGGAACUAACUUGUCUCAUGUUCCAUAAAAUGUAACAAUGAAUGGAUAAAAAACAUGAUUAUUGUUCUUUUAUAAACAAAAAAAUGUUUUUUUUAACUAAUUGCUGUGGUAUAAGAGGAAUAAACCACUUUGGGAUGUGUUGUUAAAGGAAAAUAAUCAACUUCAGAAUAGUAACUGUUAGAGUAAGUGUUUUAUUUCUUAUUUACACUUUGGUGUGACAGGGAAAAUGUUUGUCCUUAAAAAAACCAUAAAUGUAAAGUGUAUAUAAUGAUGAAAAUUAAAUUAAUGAAUAAAAAAGAUAA